rnacentral:rRNA from 1 species
CAGUAGCCGCGGUAAUACGAAGGGGGCUAGCGUUGUUCGGAUUUACUGGGCGUAAAGGGCGCGUAGGCGGGCGAAUAAGUCAGGGGUGAAAUCCCAAGGCUCAACCUUGGAACUGCCUUUGAUACUGUUUGUCUUGAGUUCGAGAGAGGUAAGUGGAACUGCGAGUGUAGAGGUGAAAUUCGUAGAUAUUCGCAAGAACACCAGUGGCGAAGGCGGCUUACUGGCUCGAAACUGACGCUGAGGCGCGAAAGCGUGGGGAGCAAACAGGAUUAGAUACCCCGGUAGUCCCUGUCUCUUAUAC